AUUGCUAAUUACUGUAACACGAUUUACAAAUGUCUACUGAUGUUCAUCAUGGUGGAGGAGGGCGAGGAGGAGGGCGAGGAGGAGGCAGAGGAGGGGGACGAGGAGGAGGACGAGGAGGAGGACGAGGAGGUCAUGGACAUGGAACUACUCACUAUAAUACGCUGAUGGCUUCUUCAAAAACAGAACUACAACAACUUCUGGUAGCUGCACAGCGAUAUGCUCAGCAAGAAGACGAUGGAAAUGAGUUCUUUUGGGGUGUCAUUGUGCACACAAUCCAAGAACUAAUUAAGCAUGCCAAGCACUAGAUUUACGGAGAUGGUGGUUGAUACUAAUGCCUUCUUUGAAAUCUGACAUUGGACCUCUCGCUACCCAGAUCUUUCUUUUUAUGUAUUAGUACAUGUAUACCAGUGUGAUUGUUUGAUAACCACGCAGUAAACAAAAAUAACACAAA